rnacentral:misc_RNA from 1 species
UUUCCGUAGGUGAACCUGCGGAAGGAUCAUUAUCACGUAUCCACGUAUAAACAAACUGUGAACUGUUGCUCUAUUAGACACCGUAUGAAUGUAUUUGAGAACUGUUGUGUUUUCUACUCAUGCGGCUCUUUUAGGGUUUAUUUCAUUUUAAUUUUUAUUAACAACUUGAACAUUUUAUUUAUAACAUUUGUACUGAACUGUUUCUUACCCUUCUUUUAGGGAAGAAAUGACAUACGUAACAUAAGAACAACUCUUAGCAACGGAUAUCUUGGUUCUCGCAUCGAUGAAGAACGGAGC